rnacentral:rRNA from 1 species
UACGUAGGGGGCGAGCGUUUGUCCGGAAUUAUUGGGCGUAAAGGGUGUGUAGGCGGCUUUGCAAGUCAGAUGUGAAAUGCCACGGCUUAACCGUGGGACUGCAUUUGAAACUGCAGGGCUUGAGUUCGGAAGAGGAAAACGGAAUUCCUAGUGUAGCGGUGAAAUGCGUAGAUAUUAGGAGGAACACCGGUGGCGAAGGCGGUUUCGUGGGCC